rnacentral:rRNA from 1 species
CAUAUGCUUGUCUCAAAGAUUAAGCCAUGCAUGUCUGAGUACAGACCGAUCUAAGGUGAAACCGCGAAUGGCUCAUUAAAUCAGUCAUAAUUCCUUGGAUAGUGAAAAACUUUCCUCGGAUAACUGUGGAAAAUCCAGAGCUAAUACGUGCAACUGAGCUCCGACCUCGACGCGAGUCUUGGGAAGAGCGCAUUUGUUAGAUUCAAAACUGACCGGCGUACUCCUUCGGGAUACGCCGUUUGUUAAAAUUUGAUGACUCAGGACAACUAAGUCGAGCGCUCCGGUCUUUAGUACCGGCGCCGUAUCUUUCAAGUGUCUGCCUUAUCAGCUUUCGAUUGUAGGUUAAACGCCUACAAUGGCUGUAACGGGUAACGGGGAAUCAGGGUUCGAUUCCGGAGAGGGAGCCUGAGAAACGGCUACCACAUCUAAGGAAGGCAGCAGGCACGCAAAUUACCCACUCCCAGCCCGGGGAGGUAGUGACGAAAAAUAACGAUGCGAGACUCUUCCGAGGCCUCGCAAUCGGAAUGAGUCCAUUUUAAAUCCUUGGACGAGGAUCCAUUGGAGGGCAAGUCUGGUGCCAGCAGCCGCGGUAAUUCCAGCUCCAAUAGCGUAUAUUAAAGUUGCUGCGGUUAAAAAGCUCGUAGUUGGACUUUCUAGAUCCAUUUCGUGGGUGAGUCGCUCUUUGUAUUGGCGUCUCGUGCGGUUCCUCGAUGAAGUCGUCGCGCGUACUUCUCUUCUUUCGGACUCCGGUUCGUUGGUCUGAGAGGUUGCGCCGGCGUUACAGAAUCUUGCGGGCGGCGAGGCGUUGUCUUAGAGUAUAGCUCGUCCGCGUUUGGUACAAUUAAAAUUUUGUCGGCUCGCUCGGAGUGCUCUUUACCGAGUGUUCCAGGGUGGCUGACACGUUCACUUUGAAAAAAUUAGAGUGCUUAAAGCGGGCUUAUUUACGGCCUGAAUGUCUGUGCAUGGAAUGAAGUAACAGGACCUCGAUUCUGUUGUUUUUGUCGGUUUUAAUGAACCGAGGUAAUGAUUAAAAGGGACAGACGGUGGCAUUAGUAUUGCGGCGCUAGAGGUGAAAUUCUUGGACCGUCGCAAGACUAACUACUGCGAAAGCAUUUGCCGAGAAUGUUUUCAUUAAUCAAGAACGAAAGUUAGAGGAUCGAAGGCGAUCAGAUACCGCCCUAGUUCUAACCCUAAACUAUGCUAACUAGCGAUCCGCCGGAGUCAUUCCCACGACCCGGCGGGAAGCCCCAGGGAAACCAAAGUCUUUGAGUUCCGGGGGAAGUAUGGUUGCAAAGCUGAAACUUAAAGGAAUUGACGGAAGGGCACCACCAGGAGUGGAGCCUGCGGCUUAAUUUGACUCAACACGGGAAACCUCACCAGGCCCGGACAUCAUUAGGAUUGACAGGUUGAGAGCUCUUUCUCGAUUUGAUGGGUGGUGGUGCAUGGCCGUUCUUAGUUGGUGGAGUGAUCUGUCUGGUUGAUUCCGAUAACGAACGAGACUCUACCCUACUAACUAGUCGGCGGAUCGUAACCCUGAGAUGGUUAGUUUGUAUAGGAGAGUUUUGCCUAGGCGUGGGCCCUCCGAUCGAUAGGGGUACGCGCGUAUCAUUAGCUAUUCGUAGCGAAGGGUACCGCGGGCUUCCUAGAGGUCGCGAGUGGUUCUGUCGAAGCUGCUUUCUGAUUACUACUACUGCUGGGGGCGUCCGUCGCAAUGUAUCUUCUUAGAGGGAUCAGCGGCGUAUAGCCGCACGAGAAAGAGCAAUAACAGGUCUGUGAUGCCCUUAGAUGUUCUGGGCCGCACGCGCGCUACAAUGUAGGGCUCAGCGUGCUUCCCCUCUCCGAAAGGAGCGGGUAACCCGUUGAAACCCCUACCCGAUUGGGAUUGGGGAUUGCAAUUAUUUCCCAUAAACGAGGAAUUCCCAGUAAGCGCGAAUCAUUAAUUCGCGCUGAUUACGUCCCUGCCCUUUGUACACACCGCCCGUCGCUACUACCGAUUGAAUGAUUCAGUGAGGGCAUCGGACUGGCCCUUCGGUUUAGUAACCUAGACCUUAGGCUGACGGAAAGAUGUCCGAACUUGAUCAUUUAGAGGAAGUAAAAGUCGUAACAAGGUUUC